CAAUCUGCCCCCUUUAUCAAGAGAUGGCUAGCACAUCGGCAAUAUAUCUGGGUCAUCCUUUUCGUCUUGUGUCUGGCAUCCUCUAUCAUUGUCGCAUACUGGCUUAUCAGGCGUUGUUUGAAUCGAAGGUUCAUUGCUGAGUGGCUGAGACGCCCAGCUGAAGACCCGCCAUCGCUGGAACUGGCCCAGGUUCCUCCACAACCAGAAGCCAAUGAGAAAUCUCCUCCAAGACCUGCCACCAUUGAGGUCCCUCAUGGGCCUAAGACUGCUGUAGACACUGAAGCACGAUCUCCAGGUGUUGAGGAUCUCCAGGGAAGCUGUGAGGUGCUUCCUUGUUUGGACAAACCCCUCAGUGGGCAACCUAGCCACCCACCCUCUGGAAGCCCUAAGAGAGAAGAGGAUUAUCUUGUCUUCAGCACCUCUCCAAAUAAUGCUGAGGGUCCAGUCCUGGAGCUAACCAUGGGAGCUGAAUCGGCAAUCUAAUAAGUAACCAGAGAUUCUCCCUUGAAGGAGAACUGCUGGACAACAGCCCAGUGGGCUCUAUAGCCACAGAUUUUUAGGAUCUGAACUUUUAAUUAGGAUUGGUUGACUGUUUGAUUUUCACUUCUUUUUAGACCUUACUUUAGAUUUCAUUUAUUUGCAGACAAUACACUGGUGUGGCAACAUCAGCACUGAGGUGUCCACCCUACACGUCCCUAUCAGCACAUAGGAAGAAAAUAGGUAAUCUCCCCACCUCACCCCACAAGUUUUUCCUCUCCAGUGUGGAUUUGUGUACUGAACAAAGUAAACAGCACAACAUCUAUGGAUUUCAAGUUCUCCUGAUACUUGCACACCCCAUCUUUAGCUGCCAGUGUAGGACAUGUUUGGUCUUGAAAUAUGAAUGCAUAAUUAAGACAGCCUGCCUUCAAACCUGACCACUCAGGGAUGUUCUAUUCUAGAAAUAAGGAAUAUGGCCUACAUGGCAUCAUUGCAGCUGUCUGAAACCACACAGCAUGCAUGGCUUCAUCCUGCAGAACCCUGAGGCUUGUAGUUGGUGACUUGGAAUUCUUUACUGUACAUCAGGAGAAUGCGCUAUAGCGCUGUAGUGCUAUAGCACAGACCAAAUCCAUCACCAAACUAUACAUUCCAGAAUUUUGUAGGAGGAAGGCAUGGACAUCAAAAUGGCAGCAACCUUACUACGAGUGUUUUGUGUGCGUACCCUCUGAGUUGUGUAGCUUAAAGGGAAAGGGGUAUGUUUGUACAUAGGAUGACUUCUGUGAAGGCCAAGCUGUUUGCCAGAGGAAAAAAUGACACGGAUAUCACAAUGUUGUCCAAAGCUAGCAGAGUGACGACCACUGACCAGUCAUAGCAUGUAGGCUGUCUUUUUUUAGCAGACAUCUUAAUGCCAUACAAACAACAAAACAAUCAUGAGCUGCCCUGUGAAACAAUUAAGCAGUGAACUCCUUCUUAACUUUUAUUCUUGGGUGGUGGGAAUAUUCUUCACGUGGUUUCACUUUUGAAUAAAUGUGUUUUGUAACUUAAUGUUGACA
rnacentral:lncRNA from 1 species